UACGGAGGGCGCAAGCGUUGUUCGGAAUCAUUGGGCGUAAAGCGCGUGUAGGCGGUCGCGUAAGUCGGGUGUGAAAUCCCGGGGCUCAACCCCGGAACUGCAUUCGAAACUGCGUGGCUAGAGUCCCGGAGAGGGUGGUGGAAUUCCCAGUGUAGAGGUGAAAUUCGUAGAUAUUGGGAAGAACACCGGAGGCGAAGGCGGCCACCUGGACGGUGACUGACGCUGAGACGCGAAAGCGCGGGGAGCAAACAGG
rnacentral:rRNA from 1 species